UGGCUCUUUCAGCAGCAUUUCAUGUAGAUGAUCUGCAUGAACAGUGCCGCAUCUGUGGGAGCAGGAGAGAUGUUGCUUCCUUUUUCAACAAGUUUUCCAAAAUCAGAGAAAAUAGUGUGCUACUAUUUCUCAGGGAACCCCGUAAUUUAAGGCAAUACCACAGAAUGACAGCACUGGGGUGGUGAACAGCAGAAAGGGGUGUCCAUCCAUCCAUGCGGUACAUACAGUAGGAACUUUUAGGCUGUGGUCUGACGGAAAGUCUACGUGGAGUCAGAUUUCAGAGUUGGAGCACUGAACUGCAGUGAGUCACACAGAGAGCCUGAGAGCUGCCUUUGUUCCACUAGUGUCUGAAUGCUGGAGGAGAAACAGCAGGCUCCAGUUUUCAUUAACUUAUUUUCAGAAGUUUAAAAUUCAUGUUCACUGAGCUUUUUCCCCACUUGAGAUCUUUCAACUGACUUUCAAAAAAUGCUGCCAUGUCAUGCCUGGUGGACCCGGGACAUGCUACUAUUGUUCUUAGGCUUGUCAAUCCAUGCUGGUUCAGCAGCUCAGGUCAUAGAAGGGAAGCUGUUGGAAGUUAAGAGCUCAAAUUGCCAUUCCUUCUGGAAAAGAGAAAAUAAAGUAAAUGCAUUGCUCCCCAUGUGUAAGACAACCAAUAAUACCAGCCACAACAAGAAUGCGCCAAAGACCAACAGCCAACAAAAAGCACAGAAAAAAAAAAAAAAAGAAGAAAUCGUGUUGAGAGAGAAAAACCGACAAAAAAAAACAAA
rnacentral:lncRNA from 1 species